GCUCCAUGACAGCAGAAGCUCCGUGUGAAUCCAUGUUUGAUCUCUAAAACCAUCAUUGUCUGGUCAGUGGACAUUCAGCGGAGAAGGAGACGGUUAACAGCAACCAAUACGAAACGAGGACGAAGACGCUUUUUAAGACAUGGUGUCAGGAGGAGAAGCUGCGCUCUAAGACCUGCAGGAAGUGACAUCAUCACCAUGUGACAACACUACACAGGUGGUAUUUAAACCUGUGGCGACUCUGAGGAGGAGUUUGAUUUUAAAUACCUGUACAGUUUUUUAUUUUAGUUUUAUUUUUUGUUUGUUUCUGGGGGUGAAUGAUAAACAGAACAACAUUCUCACUUCAUGGAAAAUGAAAAUCAUUCGCCACCUUCGUCUGAUCAAACGCUCGUCUGUCUGCUUCAGUAUCUACGGUGGCUGAGAAGGUCCAAACAAAGCCUGCAGGUACAGGAAACAGGAAACACCAGAUACAGCUUGUGUCUGGGUCUUCAAAAUAAAAGAAUAAAAUAUAAUCCUAUGUUAGAAUUUUUUAUGAAGUGUGAAUAUCAGACAGUGAUGAUGUCACAGUGUGGCGUUAUUUUCCUCUGCAUGCGUCCACUAUCAGAAACGUAGAGUAACAUCAGAGGGAUGCGCCACAAAGGUGGUCAUCAACUUCCUGUCUAAGCCCCGCCCCUCUUCUUCAGGCUCUAAACAAACACUCAGUAUGUUUCCAGGCACAGUGCGACGCCUAAGGCCCUGACACACCAAGCCGACGGUCGGCCGUCGACCAAAGUCGGGCCGUCGGUGAGCGUCUGUCGCCCUAGUUUUUGUGGUGUGUCCCGCACCAUCGGCACUUCGUCGUUGGCGGCUUUUCGGUCAAUUGAGCAUGUUGAAUCGGCUGCGGAGCUUGUCGGUGAGAGAGUUCACUCUGAUUGGCUGUUCAGGUUUUAUUUCCUCGCCCCUGUAGCGAGUGAAACUGCCUGUAGUGAAACCGGGGCUAACCGGUGCUUCCUCCUCAGGCUCCACUUCACUCAGCUGCCCGACAGACCCGCUGUUUCUUCCCACUUUAACCUGAAUAACAAACCAGAGCUAGCUGGGAGCGGCUAGCAGAGCAUUAGCCUCAGCAUGACCGGAGGGAAGCACAGCCAGUUAGCCUCCGCUAGCCUCCCAGCUAGCCCCGGCUCUCCGUUUGGAUCCAACCGGAGCACCGAGCCCUGGUUUGUUAUUCAGGUUAAAGUGGGAAGAAGCAGCGGGUUUAUCGGGCAGCUGAGUGAAGUGGAGCCUGCGGAGGAAACACCGGGACCGUCUGGAUGUAAUAGUCCGUGGAGGUGCUGCGGUGCUCGGCUGCACAGAUAGGAAACCCCUCGACUGACAGGAUGUACCACUCUCUCACUCCGCUCUCUCUCACGCAGGUGCAGAACGUACGUGCUACUUGGCCAUUGGAUAUAGUCCGUGUUGUGUGUUCAAAUGCAACUGACACAGGGUGACAUGAGGCGAUGUAGACGACGCAACAGUUGGCUUUUGUUGCCGCUAGUUCUUUGAUGUCAGUCUGGUGUGUCUGCACCUUUACAGCUCGACGAGGUCAUUUAAAGGGACGACUGGCCUCGUCUUGGGAUACAGGCACGGGAGAGGAAUCUGACCGAAGUGCCCCGACUCUUUGUCGGCAUCACUGAUGUGCUGAUGGUUCACUGUGCCUAGAGCCU